CCCCUUUUGGCCGUAUAGCCCAAGCAUAGAAGUCUGACUUUGCCUGACCUUGCCACAACAUGCCUUGACCCCAUCGGACCUCGUCGUGCCCUCUCGCACCUGCCCCACCAUAGCCAACACUCUUCGAGAUAAACACACCCAAGUCUUUGUGUGUUCUGAGUUCCUUUAUAUGCCGUGAUGAUUAUGAGCCCGCCCGAUUGAACUCUACCGUAGCAGAGCCUCAGAAACAUCACGUCGCCACCGGUGAAUGCCGCUUCGGACCACCUCCUCGUCGACCGGCCAACCCGAAUGUUCUCCUAUCGAGUGUGCACGAGCGUCGUAGCUAUGGCACCUGAUCUUUGCUUUGGGAAAGAAGGGAUGUAGCAGCACAUCCACCACACUUUUAAAUAAAGGAACCACUGCUUAAUAAUGAUGUUAAACAAGGAGGAUCAAGUCUAGGGGAUUAUUACAUUCUAAUCUUUCAUGGUAGUUGAACUGUUUAGUUUGGUGGGCUGAGUUGUCUAUCUUUUGUCUGGUCAUGAAUGUUCAUUUCUACUGUUGCAUUUCGUUUAUACUAUGUCAAUUAUCUGUCUUUUAUAUCCUGUAUAAACUUUAUGCUUCCCUUGUUAUGCUACUUUCAAGGGAGGUGCUGCCGGAUUUUGCAAUACUUUCUUUCUCUA